UCUGGCAAGGGAAGAGAUGCCAAAAUGACCCUUCUCUAACUCCUGGCUCUCCAGAGGCUCCAGGGAACCACGAGGAGAUUAACCCAAAGAUCUGAUCCCCGCAGAAAGACAGCCGAUUCAGUGACCGGCAAUAACCCGGGGCGGGCUGAAUGCUGAGAUAAGAGUAAUCAAAUUUCACGCCGCUUAGCUUCUCGAGAGAGAGUCGCUGCGGCUGCCGAUGGAAAUUUCCCACCCACCCCAGCUUUGGCACGGGGGCCAGCCUGCUGGUGAAUGAUCCAGGCUGUCGUGGGCACGGCCUGGACCCCACGUGACAAGAGCCAAGCACCCCGGCCUCCCCGGUGGGCCUCGUGAGAGUUGCCAGGACGGUUGGGGACAUUUCGUUGUGGACCAGACGGUCCCCCAGAUGUGGGUGUUGGACUGUUGCUUCUUCUGGAAUCACUCAGUCACGGGUUCUAGCGGGGUCUCGGAGGCAGGGAGUCCGAGAUGGAUGUCCGACGGUUGACGUAACGGGAGCUGACAGGUGCCGCCCGAUGCCGGCCGAGCAGGUGGAGAGUCAGAUAUGCUCUUAGGUCCGCAAUGGUGUUGGGGAUAACAACUCUGCUGUCCAAGUCCAGAAGACCAGCAUGACCUCGGGAGCUGAAUGGCAGGGCUUCAACCUGAGGCAAACCCAAGCCUGCCGAGGCUACCAGACCUGAUAAAAUAUAUAUUUUUUUAUGGUA